UGAAUCCUUUGCAGAC
rnacentral:sRNA from 1 species